CAGCCGCCGCGGGAAAACAGAGGGUGCGAGCGUUAAUCGGAUUUACUGGGCGUAAAGCGUGCGUAGGCGGCUUCUUAAGUCGGAUGUGAAAUCCCUGAGCUUAACUUAGGAAUUGCAUUCGAUACUGGGAAGCUAGAGUAUGGGAGAGGAUGGUAGAAUUCCAGGUGUAGCGGUGAAAUGCGUAGAGAUCUGGAGGAAUACCGAUGGCGAAGGCAGCCAUCUGGCCUAAUACUGACGCUGAGGUACGAAAGCAUGGGGAGCAAACAGGAUUAGAUACCCUGUAGUCCCUGUCUCUUAUACA
rnacentral:rRNA from 1 species